UCCUCCCCUGCUGCUUCCUGCUAGCUCGCAGUGUGAUUUUUACCUUCGAGAGCCGAGCGAGGCCCAGGGCGGCUCCAUGUUCCUGUCCUGUGUCCUGAUGCAUCCCCUGUGUGGGAAGUGUUUGCCCGUGGAGACACAGGCAGAAGGAGCUGACCAGUAUCAUCUCACCCUUGGCCGAUGUCUCAUGGUGCUGGAACCGUGGUGCAGGGUUUCCAAGCUCGGCCUGCUCACUGUCACAAGUGUGAGCCCUCACCCUCCUCCUCAGAGACAUGUGGCGGGGUCAGAUGUGACAACACAAACUCAAAGUAAAGCACCUAAAAUGGGCACAGUGGUACACGCCAGUAGUCCUAAUGCUCUGGGAGGGAGGCUGCGGCAGGAGAACCGCAAGUUGGAGUGCAUCCUGGACAACGGAGUGACUCAACAAGACCCCGGAUCAAAACAAAAAAAUUUAAAAAGGCUGGAGGUGUAGCCCAGUGCAAGUCCCCUGGGUUCAGGACCACACCCACAUGCACACACGUGUGCAUGUAUGCACACACACGCACACACCACGUAAAGAACCUCAAGGCUUCUGAAUGGCUCUGACCACACAGUUUGAAAGAAACUCAUCACCAGAUCUUUAAUUUGCAAACCUUCUGUUUCCGACCUGAUUCGUCUGAGGACACCACUGAGCUGGCGACUGGUGUCUGGUUUCAUUGUCUGGAGGGGGCAUGCACUGCGCGUCUGCCUGUGGUGCCCCCCAGGAGGUGGCACCUGAGAGAGGAGACACAGGCCUAGUCCCUCAGUGCUUAACUAAGACUCCACGCUCCACGGGUUCUCGUGUCUCUGUGCAGCACCCGCUUCAUGUCCGGGGGAAGAGGGCGGCCAGGAGAGCCUUAAGGUAGACUGCCCAGCGUCAGCCAAGACAGCGUCUGCAGGAACACCGACUGCUGGGGGGAAAGGGGGCACUCACAACGAGAGCCACAUCCAGCCCCGCUCAGCACCACCCCAGGUGAUGGACAUGCCACCCAGACUUAGAAAUCGGUGCUGCCACGUUGCUUAAACCCAUGCCAGGUGUGUGGGACUUGCCCCAGCCUCCAGACGACAAGUAAAACCCACAGUUUCCAACCUCAGGCGACUUAUUUAGAUGCAUGUAAGAAACCACUUUAACAUCCAUUUAUGAAAUCAUAUCAUGAAAUAAUCUAAUGAUAGUGGAUGCUUAUUUUAUUUUACCACAUAAAAUCCUUCAUAUUUUCUUCUAAUCGACAAGAAUAAUAUUCUAGCUUCAGGACUAAGUGCUUUCCUUUUUAGCAAAUACCUUUCCUUCAUUAAAUGCAUAUUUAAAAGUUA